rnacentral:misc_RNA from 1 species
UCCGGUUUGUCACCGGCAGUCACCUUAGAGUGCCCAACUAAAUGCUGGCAACUAAGAUCAAGGGUUGCGCUCGUUGCGGGACUUAACCCAACAUCCCACGACACGAGCUGACGACAGCCAUGCAGCACCUAACCGCCGGUUCCCCGAAGGGCACCCCGAUCUUUCAACCAGGCUCCGACGUUUUCUAGCCCAGGUAAGGUUCUGCGCGUUGCGUCGAAUUGAACCACAUGCUCCACCGCUUGUGCGGGCCCCCGUCAAUUCCUUUGAGUUUUAGCCUUGCGGCCGUACUCCCCAGGCGGGGUGCUUAAGGCGUUAGCUACGGCACCGCAGGGGUCAAAGCCCGCGACACCUAGCACCCAUCGUUUACGGCGUGGACUAC